UCUCUCGUAGCUUAGUGGUCAAAGCAUUGGCGCGUAAAGCCAAAGAGCCCGGGUUCGAUUCUCGGCGGGGGUG
rnacentral:tRNA from 1 species